CAGCAGCCGCGGGAAUACGGAGGGUGCAAGCGUUAAUCGGAAUUACUGGGCGUAAAGCGCACGCAGGCGGUCUGUCAAGUCAGAUGUGAAAUCCCCGGGCUUAACCUGGGAACUGCAUUUGAAACUGGCAGGCUAGAGUCUUGUAGAGGGGGGUAGAAUUCCAGGUGUAGCGGUGAAAUGCGUAGAGAUCUGGAGGAAUACCGGUGGCGAAGGCGGCCCCCUGGACAAAGACUGACGCUCAGGUGCGAAAGCGUGGGGAGCAAACAGGAUUAGAUACCCCUGUAGUCCCUGUCUCUUAUAU
rnacentral:rRNA from 1 species